AUUGAACGCUGGCGGCAGGCCUAACACAUGCAAGUCGAACGAGUGGCGGACGGGUGAGUAAUGUCUGGGAAACUGCCCGAUGGAGGGGGAUAACUACUGGAAAAAGUAGCUAAUACCGAAUAACCUCGGAUGUGCCAAGAUGGGAUUAGCUAGUGGGUGGGGUACCGGCGCACCUAGGCGAAGAGCCCUAGCUGGUCUGCUAGGAUGACCAGCCACACUGGAACUGCGACACGGUCCAGACUCCUACGGGAGGCAGCAGUGGGGAAUAUUGCACAAUGGGCGCAAGCCUGAUGCAGCCAUGCCGCGUGUAUGAAGAAGGCCUUCGGGUUGUAAAGUACUUUCAGCGAGGAGGCGUUACUCGCAGAAGAAGCACCGGCUAACUCCGUGCCAGCAGCCGCGGUAAUUC
rnacentral:rRNA from 1 species